CAAAUCCUUGUCUUUCUCUCUCUCUAUCGAAAAAAAAGAAAAAAAGAAAAAGACAAAGAGGAUAAGCUGUGGGAAGAAGAGCGAUUGUUGAAGAAGACGAGACGAUGGGAUUGGCCGGUGUCUGCAACUCCAUCACCGAUCCCUAAACAAAUUGGUCUGAUGGGUUAAUUCAUUCAUUCCUUGAAGAUUGAAGAUCCUCUGAUGGAAUUUAUGGACACUGCUGUGGGUGUUGCGUUC